rnacentral:rRNA from 1 species
AGCCAUCACCCUAUUUUACACAACAGAAUUCAAGAAAAUACUCAUCCCGCACAGUACACAUCAAAACAGCCUUAUAUUAAUGCCCGCAAGGGCUAUACCUUUCGCACAUUACAGAAAAGCUUACAACUUGUCCCUUUCGCAUCAUGGAGAAGCAACAUAAAAUUAGCAACCUAAGCUCCCGAACAACUAUGAGCUACUAAAUCUUAAAAAUCAAUGUAUCACAAUUGAUAAAUUAACUUUUAGUAGGAGUGACAAGCCUUCCAUAUAGUUAAAUAGCUGGUUUUCCUACAAAAGCAUCAAAGUGCUACCUUAUAGAACACUGACAAUUCAUAAACCCCUAUAAAGGCUAACCUUCUGAGGAUUAGCUCGGAAGGGCUACAAAAAUAUAUAAAUCCUAUUACCCAAAAGUAGGCUUAAAAACAGCCACCCAAUAGCGUUCCAGUUAAUGACUCACCUCAAAACACAAUAUCCAAUCACCAAUUUAAAACCAACAAAGGAACUUAGCGUAGAACAUACUCACACUAAUGAACCGGCAUUCUAUUAGUAUUUAUUCAACACUUAUCCAAAAAUUAAACAAAAUCGAACCCUAAAAAUCCAACACCAAAAACUAUAUAGAGUGAACUCGGCAACAAAGUUCUCUGCCUGUUUACCAAAAACAUCGUCUUCUGAACUUAUUCAUAGAAGAUAAUGCCUGCCCAGUGAAAUAUUUAAACGGCCGCGUUAGCGUGAGCGUGCUAAGGUAGCGUAAUAAAUAGCCUCUUAAUUGGAGGCCAGUGAAUGGCAAGACUAGGAACACCUGUACCCUUUAUAUCAAAAAAACUUUUCAUCUAAGUGAAAAGACUUAGAUAGCAAAGGAAGACGAAAAGACCCCGCGGAACUUUACUUUUUCUCGUAUCCACGCCAAGGAGCACAAAGAUACAAAAAGUUGGAUUUGGGGCAAUCUCGGAACCUCCAAGCUUCCGAUCUAUGAAAAAGAAAAUUCAAAAUUUGAUAUAGACAAAAUAGAAGUUACCCCGGGGAUAACAGCGUUAUCCAACUUAAGAGUACACAUCGAAAGUUGGGUUUGCGACCUCGAUGUUGGCUUAAGGACAUCCACAUUAGUGCAACCGCUAUGGAGGGAUAGUCUGUUCGACUAUUACACCCUUACACGAGCUGAGUUAAGACCGGCGCAAGCUAGGUUGGUUUCUAUCUCCUUUAAAAUAUUCUUCUUGAUUGUACGAAAGGACCCCAAGAGAUGCACCCAAUAUAAGCACACUUUAAACUCAUUACCUCUUUAAACAAAACUACAACUAUAAU